UACGGGGGGGGCAAGCGUUGUUCGGAAUUACUGGGCGUAAAGGGCUCGUAGGCGGCCAACUAAGUCAUACGUGAAAUCCCUCGGCUUAACCGGGGAACUGCGUCUGAUACUGGAUGGCUUGAGAUUGGGAGAGGGAUGCGGAAUUCCGGGUGUAGCGGUGAAAUGCGUAGAUAUCUGGAGGAACACCGGUGGCGAAGGCGGCAUCCUGGACCAACACUGACGCUGAGGAGCGAAAGCCAGGGGAGCAAACGGG
rnacentral:rRNA from 1 species